rnacentral:misc_RNA from 1 species
GAAAUGCGAUAAGUAGUGUGAAUUGCAGAAUUCAGUGAAUCAUCGAAUCUUUGAACGCACAUUGCGCCCAUGGGAAUUCCCAGGGGCAUGCCUGUUCGAGCGUCCGUAACAACCUCUCAAGCCUGGCUUGGUAUUGGGACUCGCUGCCUCGGUGGUGGUCCUCAAAAGCAGUGGCGGGCCCAUGUAACUCUCCGCGUAGUAAUACAUCUCGCGACAGAGAAGCAGCGGGACUUACCAAAACUCCUUAAUUGCUCAGGUUGACCUCGAAUCAGGUAGGGAUACCCGCUGAACUUAA